AAACGUAGGGGGCGAGCGUUGUCCGGAAUUACUGGGCGUAAAGGGUGCGUAGGCGGCCUUUUAAGUCAGAUGUGAAAGACCACGGCUUAACCGUGGGGUUGCAUUUGAAACUGGGAGGCUUGAGUGUCGGAGAGGGCAGUGGAAUUCCCGGUGUAGCGGUGAAAUGCGUAGAUAUCGGGAGGAGCACCAGUGGCGAAGGCGACUGCCUGGACGAUAACUGACGCUGAGGCACGAAAGCUAGGGGAGCAAACAGGAUGAGAUACCCUGGUAGUCCUAGCCGUAAACGAUGGGUACUAGGUGUAGGGGUUUCGAUACCUCUGUGCCGCAGUUAACGCAAUAAGUACCCCGCCUGGGGAGUACGUGCGCAAGCAUGAA
rnacentral:rRNA from 1 species